GACGAACGCUGGCGGCGUGCUUAACACAUGCAAGUCGAACGAAGUGGCGCACGGGUGAGUAACGCGUAAUCAACCUGCCCUUCAGAGGGGUACAACAGUUGGAAACGACUGCUAAUCCCGCAUACUGAAGGAGGGGAUUGCGUCUGAUUAGCUAGUUGGAGGGGUAACGGCCCACCAAGGCGAUGAUCAGUAGCCGGGCUGAGAGGAGGAACGGGCACAUUGGGACUGGGACACGGGCCAGACUCCUACGGGAGGCAGCAGUGGGGAAUCUUCCGCAAUGGACGAAAGGCUGACGGAGCAACGCCGCGUGAGUGAUGACGGCCUUCAGGUUGUAAAGCUCUGUUAAUCGGGACGCGGUACCGGAAGAGAAAGCCACGGCUAACUACGUGCCAGCAGCCGCGGUAAUUC
rnacentral:rRNA from 1 species